GCCGGCGUGGCGGAAUGGCAGACGCAGUAGACUCAAAAUCUACCAAGGGCAACCUUGUAUGAGUUCAAGUCUCAUCGCCGGUA
rnacentral:tRNA from 1 species